AGAUUGAACGCUGGCGGCAUGCCUUACACAUGCAAGUCGAACGGCAGCACGGGGGCAACCCUGGUGCGAGUGGCGGAACGGGUGAGUAAUACAUCGGAACGUGUCCUGUAGUGGGGGAUAGCCCGGCGAAAGCCGGAUUAAUACCGCAUACGAUCUACGGAAGAAAGCGGGGGAUCUUAGGACCUCGCGCUACAGGGGCGGCCGAUGGCAGAUUAGCUAGUUGGUGGGGUAAAGGCCUACCAAGGCGACGAUCUGUAGCUGGUCUGAGAGGACGACCAGCCACACUGGGACUGAGACACGGCCCAGACUCCUACGGGAGGCAGCAGUGGGGAAUUUUGGACAAUGGGGGAAACCCUGAUCCAGCAAUGCCGCGUGUGUGAAGAAGGCCUUCGGGUUGUAAAGCACUUUGUCCGGAAAGAAACUUCUGACCUAAUACGGCGGAGGAUGACGGUACCGGAAGAAUAAGCACCGGCUAACUACGUGCCAGCAGCCGCGGU
rnacentral:rRNA from 1 species